UUCCAGAGGGGACCUCAGGAAUAAGGAGGACUGCGUGUGAACUGGAUGACUUUUCGGGGCCUGGCCAUCUCUUGAGACUGGGCCUGAGCAGCUUUGGUGAACCAGGCCCAAAUCCCACCAUCCAAAAGGAAAAAGAUGCUGCUCCCGGCCCCGCCCGUGGUCUGUGAAUGCUGACCAAAUGUUGACGAGUGUCUAAUGGCCUAACCUAUUGGCUCCAGCAGUAAUUGCCAGAACCUCUUCCCUCAUCUACCAAAUGGCCAUAGCGAUCGGCCCUUUCUGCAUCUCAGACUUCAUAUAAGAGAUCAUCAGCUGAAAACACCCCCAGCACAUGGACAGAAUCAACACAGCAUAGACAUUAUUUCAAUAUGCAAGUUUUGGACCCAGAUUGCCUGGAUUCAAAUCCUGAAUUUGCCCCUUACUCACUGGGUUACUUU